UCAAACUUGGUCAUUUAGAGGAAGUAAAAGUCGUAACAAGGUUUCCGUAGGUGAACCUGCGGAAGGAUCAUUAUUGAAAUAAUCCAAAAUCUUGGGCGCUACUUUUUUCAUAAAAGUUUCGCUCUUUUUUUUUACCCACACACUCGUGCACUUUUUUUAUUAAAAACUCUACAAGUCUACAUGAGGAAUAACAAAUUUAUAAAAAAAAGAAACAACUUUCAACAACGGAUCUCUUGGCUCUCGCAUCGAUGAAGAACGCAGC
rnacentral:misc_RNA from 1 species